AGUGAGCGCUGGCGGUAGGCCUAACACAUGCAAGUCGAACGGCAGCACAGUAAGAGCUUGCUCUUACGGGUGGCGAGUGGCGGACGGGUGAGGAAUACAUCGGAAUCUACUUUUUCGUGGGGGAUAACGCAGGGAAACUUACGCUAAUACCGCAUACGACCUACGGGUGAAAGCAGGGGAUCUUCGGACCUUGCGCGAUUGAAUGAGCCGAUGUCGGAUUAGCUAGUUGGCGGGGUAAAGGCCCACCAAGGCGACGAUCCGUAGCUGGUCUGAGAGGAUGAUCAGCCACACUGGAACUGAGACACGGUCCAGACUCCUACGGGAGGCAGCAGUGGGGAAUAUUGGACAAUGGGCGCAAGCCUGAUCCAGCCAUACCGCGUGGGUGAAGAAGGCCUUCGGGUUGAAAAGCCCUUUUGUUGGGAAAGAAAAGCAGCAGGUUAAUACCCCGCUGUUCUGACGGUACCCAAAGAAUAAGCACCGGCUAACUUCGUG
rnacentral:rRNA from 1 species